CAGACCAGUCUCUCUCCAUCUGGAGCUGGUACUGCAGAUACUUCGGGCUCGAAAAUUCAAUGAAGGGGAAAAGGAAAGGGAAUUCAGUUUCUGUGGGUCAUUGUCUUUCUUGCUCUUCUCCUUUGCUUUUCUUCCUCCUUUAUUCCUUUUCCUCUCUGAUUUGGUCCGGUGCAUUUUCCAGCUCCACAGCUUUGAAAUCUGUGUUAUCCCUGAACUGCAGCUUUCUGGUGGGACAUGAAGCCCAAGCAUGGACAGGUCUGAAAGCAUUCCUCUG
rnacentral:lncRNA from 1 species